rnacentral:rRNA from 1 species
GACGAACGCUGGCGGCGUGCUUAACACAUGCAAGUCGAACGGAAAGGCCUGCUUUCCCUUGUGGAUUGCGGGUACUCGAGUGGCGAACGGGUGAGUAACACGUGAGUGAUCUGCCCCCAACUUGGGUAUAAGCCUGGGAAACUGGGUCUAAUUCCCGAUAGGACUGCAGGGUGGUGCCUGUGGUGGAAAACGAUUUUCUAGUGGUUGGGGAUGAGCUCGCGGCCUAUCAGCUUGUUGGUGGGGUAAUGGCCUACCAAGGCGGCGACGGGUAGCCGGCCUGAGAGGGUGGACGGACACAUUGGGACUGAGAUACGGCCCAGACUCCUACGGGAGGCAGCAGUGGGGAAUAUUGCACAAUGGGCGGAAGCCUGAUGCAGCGACGCAGCGUGGGGGAUGACGGCCUUCGGGUUGUAAACUCCUUUCGACCGCGAGGAAGCCACCUGGUUGGAAGGGUGGUGACGGUAGUGGUAGAAGAAGCACCGGCUAACUACGUG